GUUAAAAACGCCAAGAGUUAAUGUACGUAAGACUUUGCUGGAGGAUUGUGAGUGCGUUUGAUUUUAAGGUCGUUUUCAGAAGAUGGUUUUUGAUUUUUUUUUUUCUUCUUUCUGUCCUCCAUUGCAGGCAUUGUGAGUCAGCAGUAUUUGACCGGCUCGAGUAUGUGAAAGCUGUGCCCGUCACCCUCCAUGUGACGUGCUCCUCGCUCGCCCUUCGUCUACCUGCCCUCUUUCCCUGCCGGGAGUUGGGGGUGAGAGGUUGUUGGCGGGUGGCGGGGGGCGGUAAGCCGGCCCUCCAUCUUGCCACGGUCUCCUUUGGGAGUGCGCAUCCGAUUGUUGUGAUAGAAAGUGACCGACCGGAAAUCUUUAGCGGUCCAACGCGAGAAUUAUCACAAAGACAAAUGUAACAUCUCGUUGGCCGCACACAUCCAUUUCUCUGCGCGCGAUGCGUCUUCCUAUCACUUGCGCUCUUUGUCUUGUGGCUCCCCCUCGACUUCCUCUAUCACACCCACGCAGACAAUGGCAUCUUGUAUAUGGUCUGCCCGACACACAAAGGCGCAAAAUGACACAUUGUCAUGCACGCACACACACCGCUGUAAACGCAAUCAGUCAGACGAGCGCCACUGACAUGUAUGUCUGUAAUGCCCACAAAAGGCUCCUGACAUCUCCCCCCCCCCCCCCCCCCCACUCGCAUUGUCUGCCUUUCCCACACACAAACAGCGAUAUGUACACAUAAACGCACAAAGCUGCACUACUCUCUGUCUUGGAAUUUUACAUUUUGAUGAAGGAGGAAGCGCGUCAUCCAAUCAGAGCAGCGGCAGGCGGGAGAGCCCAUGGCCAUGCAGACGGCAGGGACGAUUCCGGGGUAGCCGACUGAGCGUCACAAGGACUUGGCCGGCCCGGCUUGCUCCCCCGCAUCCCCUCUAGGCAGGUGGUACGAUCCGACAGGCUGGAUAAGAACCCCCUCCUCUCUGUCUCCCCCUCUCCUGUCAGUGCUAGGGUGUAGCUGCUGAUCCUAUACACUACUGCAGAAAGCAGGCGGGCGGAGGAGCCGACGUCAGGUCUCGCCGCUCCGCCACCCGACUUGAGGCGGCACAACCCACGAUGGCACGGCACGGCGUCGAGGCCAGUUUCGGUGCCUCGCCAAGCCAAGCCAAGCGCAACCCGUGCGCCCGCCCAGCCCGGCCGGCCUGGUCCGCCCCGCCCCGCCCUGCCCUGCCCUGCCCAGCAGCUGGCAUCCUGCACGGAGUCAUCAGGGUUAGUGCUCGGCUGGCACCCCUCGGUGUCCGAAUCGGCAAGGCGGGAACUUGUAAAUUUAUAGCCGUGCACUCAAACACAACGCCAAACAAUCCAUCUGGCAUAAAAGAGAGAAGGGUGGGGUGCAUUAGCUUUAAAACAAGUCAGUCACCAAAGGCGACAGUAAGCGGUUUUCGUGUGUGUGUGAUUAAAUUUAAGACACCAAGACAGAAAUGACGCUUCAUAGGGACGAUCUCGUCUCUUCACCCGCAUGCUACGCAAGAUAAACGCCCGUCCGUCUCCUUUUUAAAUGUCGACAUUUUCAUCAAUUAUCAUCGGUCUUCACGCACAGUCCUGAUUGGCUGUUUAGCUUCUAAUUUCAAGACUGCAAGUUUGAGCAUUUUUUACACAGUUGUGGGAGACUGCGGGGGGGGGGGGGGGGAAUAAAAGAGAGGCAAAGCUCCAACUAAAUGACUGUCGGUCUUAUCUGUAGCGUGUGGGCGUGUGCGCGUGCACGGACCACCGACAGGCUCGCGCGUUCAAAUCUCUGCCCUUGCCGCUAAUGCAUCUGGCAGCCUCAAAAUGUGUUCAAUCGCAGCGAGCGUACAUAAGAUGCCACUGAAGGACGGCAGCCAUGUUGGCUGUGCAUUACUUUGGCACUUUUCCUUCCUAUUUGCGGCGUUUCAUCGGCAGUCGAGUUAAAUGGUUGAAUUUUUUUUUUACACGGGAGGAAAAAUCCUGUAUUGCAAUUUCAAGUCGAAAAUGCUUUUGUAAAAUGACUUCCACUCUUCCUGAGUGUUUGCUUCCUUUCAAAAGAGGGCGCAUUUAAUUUAUUUAUUUUUUUUUUUUAUCCAGCGAGUUAAAAAUAACACUAAAAGGUUCGCGGCGUCAUUUUGAUUUGAUUGAUGUUCUCACUUUUAGUCCAGGCAAUUUAAGGACACCGACCCAUGCGUUGGUAUGAAUGCGCGCGUCUUUGUGUACCUGACAUUUAGCCCCCCCAAGUUAAUGAGGAAAUGAAUGCACGCUUAUCACAGCCGACUGCCACAGAUCCUUCAUAAAAGUACCUAAAAGGCGGACACUGCUACUUAUGUGCUCGAUGACAGGAAGCAACCUUCCGGCGUUUUUGCUACAUUUGAAGCAAGCGCGAAAAAUACAUAAAUAAAUACAUAAAAACGGGUCAUAAUCCGGAUUUUGUGUAUGACUAAUUUUUCUCCACCCCGAGAUGUUUCGGAGAAAAUGUGUCUCGAGAGUGUUUGCGGAGGUCUGCAGCUGACAGGGGUGGGGAGGAUGCUGGCCUACCCCCUCCUGGCUUCCAUCCCGAGCGCAGACAACAGACGUCGUCAUUUUCCAACUCAAUUUACAGAUGCAUUAGGAGAGGCUGAGGCGCACCCAUAUCUCUCAAAUGCAAUCAGGCCUCCUUUGUGCUUUAAGAGGAAAUUGAGGGUGCCGUCGUUAUCGACUUUCUUUCCCACUUUGCUCCCGUGUCGGCUCGCUUUUUCUGCCAGUGUAACGUACGCAACGGCUGCUUACAGACUUCUUCGCCGGCUGCUCUUUACUCACUUGUCUCCCUUUCAGGCCACGCUAAAAGGGCAAAGAUGGAUGUGGAACGUCAUCUUGUAAAAAUGUGUCUCGUAGAUUGACCGAGCUGUCAUUCGAGAAGUGGAAACCAGGGGAGAGCGGGAAGAGUACACCGCGCCCCCCCCCCCCCCCCCCCCAAAGGAGAAGCAGCGAGAUGUAACCGCUCCUCUUCUCCCUAAUGGAAAGAGUAUUUCUCCACCACUUGAGCACCAUCUGCUGGCUCGGUGGGGCGGGACAGCUGGUGUUGUGAAUCAGGCCGCCGCAUUCCAGGGAACGGCUACUUCCCAACACCAGGGUCUCUCCUUCACUACGCGCACACAUUUGACCUCACUGCGCCGAAAUGCCAAUCGGAUGAUCGAUGGAUUGCCGAUGUAGAAAA